AGCGAACGCUGGCGGCAGGCCUAACACAUGCAAGUCGAACGAACCUUUCGGGGUUAGUGGCGGACGGGUGAGUAACACGUGGGAACGUGCCUUUAGGUUCGGCAUAACUCAGGGAAACUUGUGCUAAUACCGAAUGUGCCCUUCUGGGGAAAGAUUAAUCGCCUUUAGAGCGGCCUGCGUCUGAUUAGCUAGUUGGUUGAGGUAAUGGCUCACCAAGGCGACGAUCAGUAGCUGGUCUGAGAGGAUGAUCAGCCACAUUGGGACUGAGACACGGCCCAAACUCCUACGGGAGGCAGCAGUAGGGAAUCUUGCGCAAUGGGCGAAAGCCUGACGCAGCCAUGCCGCGUGAAUGAUGAAGGUCUUAGGAUUGUAAAAUUCUUUCACCGGGGACGAUAAUGACGGUACCCGGAGAAGAAGCCCCGGCUAACUUCGUG
rnacentral:rRNA from 1 species